AACGCACAUUGCGCCUCUCUUUACCGGGAGGCAUGCCUGUCUGAGCGUCAUUAAAUCAAUAAAUCCUUCGCUGGAUUUGUGUUGGGAUUUGCACCUCAAAGUGCAUCUCCUCAAAGUCAUGGUUCUUAACUCAUGGAUGAGCUCCUUUUGGACUUGCCGUGGUUUGGCCUUUUUUUCUGCGAGAGGUACACCUCUCUGAAUUUGACCUCAGAUCAGGUAGGAAGACCGCCUGAACUUAA
rnacentral:misc_RNA from 1 species